rnacentral:rRNA from 1 species
GCGAACGGGUGAGUAACACGUGAGCAACCUGCCCUGGACUCUGGGAUAAGCGCUGGAAACGGCGUCUAAUACUGGAUAUGAGCCUCUUCCGCAUGGUGGGGGUUGGAAAGAUUUUUUGGUCUGGGAUGGGCUCGCGGCCUAUCAGCUUGUUGGUGAGGUAAUGGCUCACCAAGGCGUCGACGGGUAGCCGGCCUGAGAGGGUGACCGGCCACACUGGGACUGAGACACGGCCCAGACUCCUACGGGAGGCAGCAGUGGGGAAUAUUGCACAAUGGGCGGAAGCCUGAUGCAGCAACGCCGCGUGAGGGAUGACGGCCUUCGGGUUGUAAACCUCUUUUAGCAGGGAAGAAGCGAAAGUGACGGUACCUGCAGAAAAAGCGCCGGCUAACUACGUGCCAGCAGCCGCGGUAAUACGUAGGGCGCAAGCGUUAUCCGGAAUUAUUGGGCGUAAAGAGCUCGUAGGCGGUUUGUCGCGUCUGCUGUGAAAUCCCGAGGCUCAACCUCGGGCCUGCAGUGGGUACGGGCAGACUAGAGUGCGGUAGGGGAGAUUGGAAUUCCUGGUGUAGCGGUGGAAUGCGCAGAUAUCAGGAGGAACACCGAUGGCGAAGGCAGAUCUCUGGGCCGUAACUGACGCUGAGGAGCGAAAGGGUGGGGAGCA